rnacentral:lncRNA from 10 species
CUACCUGUGUGUGUAUUAACACGCCGGCCUCCUCGCUACCUGUAUCAACUAUGGCCUGAGUAUGAUAGACUUAUCCAUGGUUUAAACAGAAUAUAUUGUUUUCAACUUUGAAAAUAAGAAUAUGGAAAUCCAGAUGCAGAAAUGUGAGAAGAAAAGAGAGUAAACAGAGUGGAAGGUCAGGUGACCUUGCCUGUCAUGAAUAUGAAGGUCAAGGUGUGUGAAUUGUGAAAUUUCCAAGAGAACCUCACUGAAGCAAAGAAUGAAGAAAGAAUUGCAUUUGGCCCUGGGAGGGUGCAGGGGUGAAUGGUGCAGGAGCUAAAUCUUUAUCAUACCCAGAAAUCAACAGCCACUAUUUGAAAUCAUCUAAAUUCGUGCUGCUAACCUUCAGUGUACACACGAAUCACCUGGGGAUCUUACUAAAAGCUAGUUUCUGAUUCACUAAAUCUGUGUGUGGUGGAAGUUGAGGGCAGAGAAGCUCCCGAGGGUGUCAAGCUGACUCUGAACCCGACUUUGAGGGUUAAGGUCCCAAAUGGCAUCGCCAGCACCAGGGACAGACACUAAAAUUGUAGAAAUCGUCUCAAGAAAUGAACAGCCUCUAAGUCAGAUGUUGAAUGUGAAAGAAAUCAGGGUGUGUACGUGUGUGUGCAUUUGUGUGUGCACGUGUGUGCCUGUGUUUGUCUCUGUGCAUGUAUGUUUCUAUGUGUGCACAUGUGUGUAUGUGUCUGUACAUGUGUGUUUCUGUGUGUGUGCCUGUGUGUGUAUUGGCUUAGAUCUGUUCGAGACUUUUUA